UGCGGAGGAUCAUUAUUGAAUAAACUUGGUUGGGUUGCUGCUGGCUCUUAGGAGCAUGUGCACGCUCACUCCAUUUUUUAACCACCUGUGCACAUAUUGUAGGCCUGAAUGGACAUUUCGAGGAAACUCGGUUUGAGAAUUGCUAUGAAAAUAAGCUGUUCUUGUAUAAUUCAGGUCUAUGUUUUAAAUCAUAUACACAAGUAACAGAAUGUAAAUCAUAGGCCUUCUGUGCCUUUAAAUCUAAUACAACUUUCAACAACGGAUCUCUUGGCUCUCGCAUCGAUGAAGAACGCAGCGAAAUGCGAUAAGUAAUGUGAAUUGCAGAAUUCAGUGAAUCAUCGAAUCUUUGAACGCACCUUGCGCUCCUUGGUAUUCCGAGGAGCAUGCCUGUUUGAGUGUCAUGAAAUUAUCAACCUCUCUGGCUUUUAUUAGCUGGUAAGGCUUGGAUUAUGGGAGUUGCUGGUU
rnacentral:misc_RNA from 1 species